rnacentral:rRNA from 1 species
GACGAACGCUGGCGGCGUGCCUAAUACAUGCAAGUCGAGCGGGAGUUGGAGAGCUUGCUCUUCAACUUUAGCGGCGGACGGGUGAGUAACACGUGGGCAACCUGCCCUGCAGAUCGGGAUAACUCCGGGAAACCGGUGCUAAUACCGAAUAGUUUUCGCCACCUCCUGGUGGCGUACGGAAAGACGGUUUCGGCUGUCACUGCAGGAUGGGCCCGCGGCGCAUUAGCUAGUUGGUGGGGUAACGGCCCACAAAGGCAACGAUGCGUAGCCGGCCUGAGAGGGUGAUAGGCCACACUGGGACUGAGACACGGCCCAGACUCCUACGGGAGGCAGCAGUAGGGAAUCUUCCGCAAUGGACGAAAGUCUGACGGAGCAACGCCGCGUGAGUGACGAAGGUUUUCGGAUCGUAAAACUCUGUUGUGAGGGAAGAACAAGUACCAACUAACUACUGGUACCUUGACGGUACCUCACCAGAAAGCCACGGCUAACUACGUGCCAGCAGCCGCGGUAAGAC